rnacentral:lncRNA from 1 species
AGCUAGAAUUUUUAGCGAAAGUUGUCGAUCAAUAACUAUAACAGAGUUAGAAUUUUUAGCAAAAGUUGUCGAUCAAUAACUAUAACAGAGUUAGAAUUUUUAGCAAAAGUUGUCGAUCAAUAACUAUAACAGAGUUAGAAUUUUUAGCAAAAGUUGUCGAUCAAUAACUAUAACUGAGGACUGUUUACUUCUAUCAAGAAUCAGUUUGUCAUUGUUCAGUAAGUUAACAUCUUGUGAAGUGUGAAAACUUAGGGCCUGGUUUGAAGGAUGCUAUCUUCCAUAACGUUGUUCUACACAUAGAGCAUGUGACAGGAAGUUUCUGCCACAAAGAAUUUAAUGUAUUAGUAUGUUUUAAGAAGGUGACAUUUGUAUAGAGUGUUUGCUUUCAGGAAGUUCCCUGCCACCCAAACCCUGGCUAGGACUGGAACACAUAAACAAGGCACCUAAAAGAUCUCGAUGUAACUACUCGGAAAAAGCUAUCAAGAUCCAUAACUGAGUGAGAUAUAGUGACCUCUUGAUAUGUCCAGCUUCUAGAUCUCCCACAAUCAGCAGAUUUGCUCUUGAUCCGAGAGGUCCCUGUCUCAGCCAGCACUCAGGCCUGGUUUUGUGUGUACAGUGUGGGGAGAGUGAAAUUAUAUGUCUAGUUUUUUACCUGAAUCCUUGGCUGCUAGAAGUACCCUACUAAUCAAGGUUCAGACCUACAUAGCUUGAUUCCAGGCCAACCCGUUCAAUUAUGUUUUGUUUGCAAGCUGCUAUUUCCCAUCAAAUUCCCUCUUAAUGUUAAAGGAUAUUGAGGACUUCAGUGCUGUAGGUGAUAGUGAACGUUGAAAUGGCGAGACCGGGUUUGUACAGUGGAAUUACUCGGCACUAAAUGUGUUAAGUCAUUUUAAUAUUAUAGUGACUAUUGUAUGAAAUUUUUGAAAAUAAAAAUUAAUCCUGUAAAAUGUCAUUAUUUUCGUUAGUAUCGUAAUCUCACAAUUUUCACGUAUCAAUGAAUUAGUUUUGAAUACUGUUGAUGUAUUGCUUUAGAAAAUGCCAGUAAAAGAAGUUAUAAUUUAUAUCACCUGUUACCUGUGCUAAUAACUGUUGUAUAUUGACAAAAAGUCUGUGUGAAUGUUUACACAUUUUCACUCAUGAUGUCAGACUUACCUGUUGUACAGAGAUAGAGUUGUACACGUUAUCAGUGGUUUUCUUUUGAUUAACCUGACUGUUUCAUGGAUUAUAAUUGAUAGCUGUACUUUCAUAUUACAAACUAAUGGUGGAUAUAUUAACGUUUAGGUAGCAACAAAAUUGUAUGAGAGUAUUGUCCCACAGUAAGGAUAAUUUCUUUCUGGACUUUUGGAGGUCCAAACAGUUACAUUAUUUAUAAAAAAAAUCCUUGAAAGGCUGAAAUUUUCAUUCUAGUUUACUGGUUUCUAUUAAUUAUAUAAUGUUUGUGGAAAUGAAUCUUGUAUUAAAACAAAAAAGUUGUCACAUAAAGAAUAAAAAACAUGUUUUAACCAUCAGUAUUUGUGAACUGGACCUGUUGGGGGUCAUGUUUUAGCUGUAAUGUAAACAUUAUUGCUCAGUAGAUCAGGCUAGCAUAAGAAUUCUAAGAUAAUUAUAUGAAUGUGCCUUUGUAUGUUAUUUUUCAACAGAUCAGGUGUGACUGUUACGUCACUGUGUUCUGGACAGUACAAUAUUGUUCAACAGACCAGACAGGUACGACUGUUACAACACUGUAUUCUGGACAGUACACUAUUGUUCAACAAAUUAGGCAGGUGUGACUGUUGCAACACUGUGAUCUGGACAGUACACUAUUGUUCAACAGACCAGACAGGUGUGACUGUUAAAACACUGUGUACUGGACAGUACACUAUUGUUCAACAAAUUAGGCAGGUGCGACUGUUAAAACACUGUGUACUGGACAGUACACUAUUGUUCAACAAAUUAGGCAGGUGUGACUGUUGCAACACUGUUAUCUGGAAGGUUUGUUAUAUUGUUCAACAGAUCAGACGGGUGUGACUGUUAAAACACUGUAUUCUGGACAGUACACUAUUGUUGAACAGAUUAUGUAGGUGCGACUGUUAAAACACUGUGUACUGGACAGUACACUAUUGUUCAACAAAUUAGGCAGGUGUGACUGUUGCAACACUGUUAUCUGGAAGGUUUGUUAUAUUGUUCAACAGAUCAGACGGGUGUGACUGUUAAAACACUGUAUUAUGGACAGUACAUUAUUGUUGAACAGAUUAUGUAGGUGCGACUGUUAAAACACUGUAUUCUGGACAGUACACUAUUAUUCAACAGCUCAGACAGGCGUGAGUGUUACAACACAGUGUCCUAGAUUUACCCAUAUCUAGUCAGAACUAAGCACCAUUGAUCAAAUUCUGGCUAGAUACCACCUACCUUAGAAACAGGCUGUACUAAAUAGAAAUGUUUCAAUCGAGUUACUUGGUGAUAAAAGCUACCUUAUUUUUUCUAAGCUGUAAGGAAUAGUUUAUACAGUAGUGGUGUGCACCAAAUGCGAAGCCUGUUAUCAUAUUGUUUAGGUCAUCUUUGUCUCAUUAUUUCCAAUAACAUGGUUAAGAACUGAGAUGACAAUUGAAGGUGACCGCAACAUGAUCUGUGGUGUAAAAAUUCUAGCGUGUUUCUUACGGAAAGAUGAGCCUAAUUUCACAAUCCUUAUUUUACUGUUUGAGAGAGAAAGUGUAUGUAUUUGAUGUAGAUAGUCUGCAAAAUUAUCUUUUUAAAUAAAUUUAACAUAAACCACCAGGAAA